GUUCGUUUCUCGGAUUUCCCCCCA
rnacentral:misc_RNA from 1 species